UGGCACAGUGGUUAAGUGUUUGGCUGCUAACCAAAAGGCUGGUGGUUUGAAUCCAUC
rnacentral:tRNA from 1 species